rnacentral:rRNA from 1 species
UCCACGCCCUAAACGAUGUACACUAGUUGUUGCCAUGCUAGUCAUGGCAGUAAUGCAGCUAACGCAUUAAGUGUACCGCCUGGGGAGUACGGUCGCAAGAUUAAAACUCAAAGGAAGGUGAGGACGACGUCAAGUCAUCAUGGCCCUUAUGCCUAGGGCGACACACGUGCUACAAUGGGAAGGACAAAAAGACGCAAUACCGCGAGGUGGAGCAAAUCUUUAAACCUUUCUCA